GGGAGAGACCUGGGCUCUUCCCUCAAUCUAUUUUUCGACUUCCUUCAAAGGAAAGAAGAUCCCAUUGGACCUUCCCGAUUGGAAUUGGCUGAUUGAGUCUGAUGGAGAGAGCCUGGAAUCUGCUGCUCUGCUCGCUCGGGUUGGAUGAGACUAGCCAAAGGCAGAACUCUAGGCCCACGCGACAUUGGUGAAAUCUGGAAGGAAGUCCAGAGAAGUCCAAUCUCCCCGCUCGCUGUCUGGGCCCAGCUAGCCCAAGAAGGAGUCAGAGAAAACCAUAGGCAACCAGGCUUUCGAGGAAAGCAUCUGGAAGGGUCACGGGGAGCCCAAGAAGGGAAAAUGAGCAGCCAGGUUGGGUACAGCCAUUUCUGAAAAAUUUCUCCUCCGGCGUUUAACUAAGAACGGCUGUAACAGAUUUACCAUUAUAAACGCCUGACAAAGUAUUCGAUAAUCUGCCCGAGCAGUCCCCCACCUCGCUAGCGAGAGGUAGGAAGUAUGUUUCAAGGAUUUGUCGGGGACUAUCGUAAAUUGUUGAUUGUUGGAAAGGAGGGGGUAAAAAUGGUUUAUACUUUCGUCUUUACAGCAGUCGUUUCCUGCCUACCUCCAGUUCGAAUUCUCCCUUUGGACAAAAAACAAUAGCAAGCAAAAUAUACAAACAAUACAGAGACCUCUCCCCAUCUGAUAAUGUAUAUACUAUUCCGGUCUAGCAGUUCCCCACCUCU
rnacentral:lncRNA from 1 species